CUCGAUAAAUCCAUGCAGCUGUCAUUAUAUUGAUAACUCAAGUUCAACAAAGAAACAUAUGGCGCAAAUCAAGAGAUUCGCAUUUACCUUAUUUCUGACGUGUCACGUGAUCUUCCCAGAAGUCCAUAGUCAGUGUGGUAGACUGGGCUCUCUUCCUGACUCCAUGCUUUACGGCUUUGUGUACCAGACUCUCCCGACCACCACAAGCCUGCAGUGCAUCGUGGGAUGUUAUCAGGACUUGAGAUGCAAGAGUGUCAAUUACAAUUUCGUGGAAAAAGUUUGCCAGCUCAACUGGGAGUCAAUGGAGACACAACCACUGCAGCUUUUUUCAAAAAAGGGCUUCUUUUACAAGAGUUUGUUUAACAUAAAUAUUCAAUGAUGCCUGGCGUAACCCGUGAAACAUUUUUAACUUAGAGUACUCAUUUAGAAGUAGCGUGUUCAGGUUCCUACUUCGUAAAUCAAAUCAUGUCUCCAAGCAUAAAAAAAUAAAGCAGUUGUUAACAAAGCUUUUGUGGGCGGGGCGGAUUUCAUCUGUUAUCAAGUAUCAAUUGUGAUAUCUGAUCCGCCCUUUCCAUUGUCAUUUGUUCGAUUUGUAAGGGUUUGAUUUGUGAGGUAUUAACGCCUCAAGGGUGCAUUCUUGGACGGUUUCUGGGAGAGUGCACAAUCAAUAGUAAACCACUCGACUCCCGAGGUUUAGACACCGCCUGAAUGAAAGAUGAAUGAUUCUCUUUGGUGAGUGGAAUGAUCAAAUUCGUUAGUGAAAGUAUUGACGCUUAUAUCAAACGGGGACAUCUAUGUUCAUCUAUGUUUAGGGCUCAGAAUACGGACAGGUUCUUAGAUCGAACAUUGUAUUUCUUCUUAGUGACAUUUCUUCUUAAGCUUUCUCGAAGUUUCCAAACGUUAUACCCCCCUGUCUUCCUAUCCUAACCUUAAAAAAAUGUAAAAGUAUAAAAAUGUCAUUUGGUCUA